rnacentral:rRNA from 1 species
UACAUGGGGUGCAAACGUUGCUCGGAAUCAUUGGGCGUAAAGCGCGCGUAGGCGGUUACUUAAGUUGGAUGUGAAAGCCCUCGGCUUAACUGAGGAAGUGCAUCCAAAACUGAGUAGCUAGAGUACGAAAGAGGGUCGCGGAAUUCCCGGUGUAGAGGUGAAAUUCGUAGAUAUCGGGAGGAACACCGGUGGCGAAGGCGGCGACCUGGGUCGAGACUGACGCUGAGGCGCGAAGCGUGGGAGCAACAGG